CUAACCAGGAUUCCCCUAGUAACUGCGAGUGAAGCGGGAAAAGCUCAAAUUUGAAAUCUGGCGGUCUUUGGCCGUCCGAGUUGUAAACUAGAGAAGUGUUACCCGUGCUGGACCGUGUACAAGUCUCCUGGAAUGGAGCGUCAUAGAGGGUGAGAAUCCCGUCUUUGACACGGACUACCAGUGCAUUGUGGUAUGCUCUCAAAGAGUCGAGUUGUUUGGGAAUGCAGCUCAAAAUGGGUGGUAAAUUCCAUCUAAAGCUAAAUAUUGGCGAGAGACCGAUAGCGAACAAGUACCGUGAGGGAAAGAUGAAAAGAACUUUGGAAAGAGAGUUAAACAGUACGUGAAAUUGCUGAAAGGGAAACGCUUGAAGUCAGUCGCAUCGGCCGGGGAUCAGCCUCGCAAUUGCGUGGUGUACUUUCUGGUUGAUGGGUCAGCAUCAAUUUUGACCGCUGGAAAAAGGCCUGAGGAAUGUGGCAGCUUCGGCUGUGUUAUAGCCUCUUGUCACAUACAGCGGUUGGGAUUGAAGAACUCAGCACGCCGCAAGGCCGGGUUUCGACCACGUCCGUGCUUAGGAUGCUGGCAUAAUGGCUUUAAGCGACCCGUCUUGAAACACGGACCAAGGAGUCUAACAUGCUUGCGAGUGUUUGGGUGGAAAACCCGAGCGCGUAAUGAAAGUGAAAGUUGAGAUCCCUGUCGCGGGGAGCAUCGACGCCCGGACCAGAACUUUUGGGACGGAUCCGCGGUAGAGCAUGUAUGUUGGGACCCGAAAGAUGGUGAACUAUGCCUGAAUAGGGUGAAGCCAGAGGAAACUCUGGUGGAGGCUCGUAGCGAUUCUGACGUGCAAAUCGAUCGUCAAAUUUGGGUAUAGGGGCGAAAGACUAAUCGAACCA
rnacentral:rRNA from 1 species